ACUUAAUAGCGCGUUUUUAAGUUUCACAAGAUUGCGACCCCCCCGCCCUUUGCCUCACGAUGGUUUGAUCCACUGCCAGUUCUUUAGCUUGCAAGGUAAUAGAGGGUUCGUAUCUACUGUCCGAAAGGCACUCGAUGUACGUAACUGACGUGAGGUAAUUCAGUCAAUUGCGCCAUAGCAAUGUAUAUAUUUUUCUAAUGUUGCAGGGUUCACACACUAGCUGAAUUUGCAGAGCUAACGCGCAAACUAAAGCAAACAUUAACUAUCAAGCUAGCUAGUACCUAUUCCAUUUAUGUGGCGUCGUCAAAGAUGGAAUAUUUGCUAUCGUCAGUUUAUUCCAAGAUUAGCAUGCAGCUGUAGUGCUUCAAAGUCCCUGUGAUAAGGUUAGCGAUAAACUGAAGUCCAAACUGAACAGAACUACACUCUCUUAUACCAUUGUCUUAAAUAUAUUUAAUGGUCUCGUUGCAAAAGCUAAAUUGUCGCUAGUGAUUUUUUAUUUUUUUUCACCUUUAUUUAACCAGGUAGCAAAGAUUAUAGCAAACACCACAGAAACGGAAUUGGUGCUCGCUAGCUUUGCAAAUUCAGCUAUUGUUGGAAGCUAGCCAAUAUGAAACAAACUAUGUUAAAAUUACAAAAGGUUGCAGCAUGUGUUGUGUAAAUGUGUGUGUGUGCAGCUAGACCGGCCAGCCAGGUAGAAAAAUGUCAGAAAAAAGUAAAAAGACGGACAUCAGAGUAUUUUUCAGUACACCAAAACGCAAAGUAAGAACUCUAGUAGCCUAAUAUCUCAAAGACGAGUUGAUAAAAUGUUCAUAAGAAAGAAGUGAAAUGCUAAUGGAAAUGUUUCACAAUGAUGUCAUUAGGCAGAGCAGGCAACAGAUGGCACACAGACAGCUGAGUUGGGGACAGAUAUGCAGGGACAGACUGGCAGAGACAGGGAGUCUCAGGUGACCAUGCCAUUUCACCCUCUUGUGACUCACCUGCUGUUCUCCACGAGGUAGAGCACGAUCUUGUCCAGCACCUUCUCGAUGAGGGCCGUGCGGAUCCAAAGGUUUCUGACCACCUGCGGGCUGAGGCUGGGCAGCCUGGACAGUAUCCGUAAGCUAUCCUGGUUGGGCAAACUUUGGUUCCGUCUGCAACGUAGAAACAGGGGAGAGGGAGGGAGGGAGGAACUCAGAGGUUACCUUUGGUUAUUUUCUACCAGUGAUAAUUUAUUAUGUGACACCUGCAUUGCAUCAGUAAACUAUAAUUAUGUGUGAGUAGAGUUGUCAUGUAUGACAGAGAUCAUGUUUAGGAUUUGUUAGCAGUAAUAUACAGUAACAGCUCUUUGCUUUUGAGUGCUAUGGUCUGUGUCUGUACAGGGAUUCGGUGGUGUGUUUGUGUCUGUACAAAGGUGUGUGUGCUCUCACUUGCUCUCCGUGAUCUGUUCCAGCUCCUGAGCCUUUCUGCACAGCUCCUCUGCCGGGGCGAAGCUCUUCCCCACCUUCAUGAAGAGCGCUGCUAUCUUGUUGCUACGCAGGAAUCCCGCCGCUCGCCGCUUAAGCCCAUGGAGAAUGCACGCCUCCACCGCAGC